GGAAGGAGGGCAAUCUGGCUGAAAACUAUCACCCCACUGAUUGCCAGAGUCUAUUUAGCUGAUAUGGUUGGAGUAUCCUUCUCCUUCCCCGUGUUCCAUGUGCAUCCUUCCCAAAGCUGACAGGGAUCUGUUCUUUGCAUAGUGGG
rnacentral:snRNA from 1 species